ACAAAUUGAUCAUGGCCCAAGCCUUAACCGGCCGAGCCAGAGUUUCUCUCGCGAAAGCGAGUCAGAAACCCAAACCCAAUUGUGAACCGUUUUCUGUCUCUGGCGGUGGGGUUCGCCCUGUGGCUGACCUGUCAGCAUGACGUUUGUGAAAACGACGUGCCGUGGACAAGCCGCCAAACACAUCUUCAACAACGCUUUGUCUAAUAUCAAUUGUCUAACCUGUUUACUUUGUAUAAAUAUACAAAAA
rnacentral:misc_RNA from 1 species